rnacentral:rRNA from 1 species
GAUGAACGCUGGCGGCGUGCCUAAUACAUGCAAGUCGAACGCUGAAGGAAGGAGCUUGCUCUUUCCGGAUGAGUUGCGAACGGGUGAGUAACGCGUAGGUAACCUGCCUGGUAGCGGGGGAUAACUAUGGGAAACGAUAGCUAAUACCGCAUAACAGUAGAUGUUGCAUGAUAUCUACUUAAAAGGCGCAAUUGCUCCACUACAAGAUGGACCUGCGUUGUAUUAGCUAGUUGGUGAGGUAACGGCUCACCAAGGCGACGAUACAUAGCCGACCUGAGAGGGUGAUCGGCCACACUGGGACUGAGACACGGCCCAGACUUCCUCGGGAGGCAGCAGUAGGGAAUCUUCGGCAAUGGGCGGAAGUCUGACCGAGCAACGCCGCGGGAGUGAAGAAGGUUUUCGGAUCGGAAAGCUCUGUUUUAAGAGAAGAACGAGAGUGGGAGUGGAAAGUUCACACUGUGACGGUAUCUUACCAGAAAGGGACGGCUAACUACGUG